AGUUCAUACUUGACUAUUCUUCAAAAUUCUUUGUUUAUCUAUUCUUGUUUCUUUUUACAGGGGGGGUGUAAGCAGAGAUACCAACCAUCAAAAUUCAGAGAGCAAUAUCAUCAUUGAAGACCUGGACCAAACUUUUCAUGGCAAUGUUUCUGAAGUUGAGGCCUCUAAUAUUGAUUUAACAGAAACGGAUGCAUCAGAUGGCAUGUUGCUUGAUGGUAUCAGAAAAUGCUGCAAAAGAGUGAUGAGAGUAAACAUGGGAGGAAUGUUUUGAAGGAGCAAAGCAGGAAGAUGGGAACAACCCAAGAAUGUUUGAAUAAAGGAAGAGCAAGUGCGUAUAUCAGAUUUAGCAUAGGGUGUUCUUCCAAGAUAGUCGACAGUGUUUGCAAAAGCAAUUACAGAAUGGAGCUUGUGAAGAACUCUGGAUUC